GACGAACGCUGGCGGCGUGCUUAACACAUGCAAGUCGAACGGAAAGGCCCUGCUUGCAGGGUACUCGAGUGGCGAACGGGUGAGUAACACGUGGGUAAUCUGCCCUGCACUUCGGGAUAAGCUUGGGAAACUGGGUCUAAUACCGGAUAGGACCGCACUUUAGUGUGUGUGGUGGAAAGUUUUUUCGGUGUAGGAUGAGCUCGCGGCCUAUCAGCUUGUUGGUGGGGUAAUGGCCUACCAAGGCGGCGACGGGUAGCCGGCCUGAGAGGGUGUACGGCCACAUUGGGACUGAGAUACGGCCCAGACUCCUACGGGAGGCAGCAGUGGGGAAUAUUGCACAAUGGGCGCAAGCCUGAUGCAGCGACGCCGCGUGGGGGAUGAAGGCCUUCGGGUUGUAAACUCCUUUCGCUAGGGACGAAGCUUUUUGUGACGGUACCUAGAUAAGAAGCACCGGCUAACUACGUG
rnacentral:rRNA from 1 species